rnacentral:rRNA from 1 species
AGAGUUUGAUCCUGGCUCAGAAUCAACGCUGGCGGCGCGCUUAACACAUGCAAGUCGAGCGAGAAAGGGGAGCAAUCCCUGAGUACAGCGGCGUACGGAUGAGUAACACGUGGGUAAUCUGCCUUUUAGUGGGGAAUAACCCUGGGAAACCGGGGCUAAUACCGCAUAAUCCUGUGAAGGGAAAGCAGCAAUGCGCUGAAAGAGGAGCCCGCGGCCGAUUAGCUAGUUGGUGAGGUAACGGCUCACCAAGGCGGUGAUCGGUAGCCGGCCUGAGAGGGCACACGGCCACACUGGCACUGAAACACGGGCCAGACUCCUACGGGAGGCAGCAGUGGGGAAUCUUGCACAAUGGAGGCAACUCUGAUGCAGCGACGCCGCGUGAGCGAUGAAGCCCCUCGGGGUGUAAAGCUCUUUCGGCAGGGACGAUAAUGACGGUACCUGAAGAAGAAGCUGCGGCUAACUACGUG